rnacentral:rRNA from 1 species
UACAGAGGGUGCAAGCGUUAAUCGGAAUUACUGGGCGUAAAGCGUGCGCAGGCGGUUUUGUAAGUCUGUCGUGAAAUCCCCGGGCUCAACCUGGGAAUGGCGAUGGAGACUGCAAGGCUAGAAUCUGGCAGAGGGGGGUAGAAUUCCACGUGUAGCAGUGAAAUGCGUAGAUAUGUGGAGGAACACCGAUGGCGAAGGCAGCCCCCUGGGUCAAGAUUGACGCUCAUGCACGAAAGCGUGGGGAGCAAACAGG